rfam:Triticum aestivum genome assembly, contig: Triticum_aestivum_CS42_TGACv1_scaffold_330345_4BS
CUUGUACUCCUUCCGUCCGGAAAUACUUGUCGGAGGAAUGGAUGUAUCUAGACAUAUUUUAGUUAUAGAUACAUCCAUUUUUAUGCAUUCUUGGGAUAAGUAUUUUCAGACAGAGGGAGUAUUUG